rnacentral:rRNA from 1 species
UGAGCAAUCUGCCCUUCUCAUCGGAAUAAGCGUUGGAAACGACGUCUAAUGCCGAAUACGACCUCCUUUCGCAUGAUCGGAGGUGGAAAGCUCCGGCGGAGAAGGAUGAGCUCGCGGCCUAUCAGCUAGUUGGUGUGGGUAAUGGCCCACCAAGGCGACGACGGGUAGCCGGCCUGAGAGGGUGACCCGGCCACACUGGGACUGAGACACGGCCCAGACUCCGUACGGGAGCAG